rnacentral:lncRNA from 1 species
CUGCAAUGCUGCACACUGAGAAUGGCGUAAACAUCGACAUCGUCAGCCCCUUUUGCUUAACCUCUUCAACCUCAGAAUCUUCAUAAAAGUGCAUAUCGUACAGCACUCGUGCCAGCGUAUCGCUAAUAGGGUGCAGAAGUGUAACCAGCUUUGAACAUUUGGUAAAAGCAACAUAGGAGUCAUACACAGUUGCAGUAUGUCUGACGAAAUCAAUUUCGAUUGCAACCUAGUGGGACCCUUGAAGAUUAUAUGGAAAAUAGACCUUCUGG